CGCAGGUCAAACUCGCAAAAUGAUUUCUGGUGCCCGAUUUAAUCUUUUUUUAUCUCGGUAAUCCUUUGCCAAAAUCAUCUCAAUCUCGACGAAUGGUAACUGUAGGAUUCGGCAAACGUGUAGAGAGGAACAGUUUCCUAUGCCCGUAUUGUGUGUCCACAGAACAACCUAGGGAGUUGAAGCAAAACCUUCGACAUCACGAUUGCUCUUGGCCGAGGUCACAGUAAUACCAAAGGUAUUUGUUCAUCGCAAAGAGUACGCCGCCAACAUGAUGAUAUGACGUCAUCGCCACUAUAGUGUCCAAAAAUAAACUCCCGAGGUAUCGGAGUGUUACGCCAUGCAGAGAGCGACGAUGUCGAUUGGCUGUGCGAAGACGAUCAAAAACGGUCCAAGAUGGAUUCAAUUGGUUGUACAUGCGAGAUGAUUGAUGAGUAUUGGAAGACUGUGAUCGAGUUCCGUUCGGAGAUGUGAGAUGGCAGAGACAAGGUUCCUCAAGCACCAGUUGUUUUCAAUAAACGAUGUACAGGAGUAUAAGGAUGCGCCUCGUUAUAGACAAAGAACUGUUGGAUUAUGAACGCUGGUGUAUUUGAUUAGAAAUGAACAAUACCAUGUAAUCGUCGCUGAUGUAAAGGAUGCGCCUCGUUAUAGACAAAGAACUGUUGAAUUAUGAACGCUGGUGUCUUUGAUUAGAAAUGAACAAUACCACGUAAUCGUCGCUGAUGUUAAGGAUGCGUCUCGUUAUAGACAAAGAACUGUUGAAUUAUGAACGCUGGUGUCUUUGAUUAGAAAUGAACAAUACCACGUAAUCGUCGCUGAUGUUAAGGAUGCGUCUCGUUAUAGACAAAGAACUGUUGGAUUAUGAACGCUGGUGUCUUUGAUUAGAAAUGAACAAUACCACGUAAUCGUCGGUGAUGUUAAGGAUGCGCCUCGUUAUAGACAAAGAACUGUUGAAUUAUGAACGCUGGUGUCUUUGAUUAGAAAUGAACAAUACCACGUAAUCGUCGCUGAUGUUAAGGAUGCGUCUCGUUAUAGACAAAGAACUGUUGAAUUAUGAACGCUGGUGUCUUUGAUUAGAAAUGAACAAUACCACGUAAUCGUCGCUGAUGUUAAGGAUGCGUCUCGUUAUAGACAAAGAACUGUUGAAUUAUGAACGCUGGUGUCUUUGAUUAGAAAUGAACAAUACCACGUAAUCGUCGCUGGUGUUAAUGAUAAAGUACAUUAUUCUUAUCGAAUCUAGUGUAUAUUUCAUGAGAAAUGCACAGACUGUACCUUCAUUGCUGCUGAUGUUAAUAAUAAUGAUAAAUUGGCUAGUGCCUAGUUUCGUAUGCAAUCAGGCCGAUUGUUGCUGAUGAUGAAUAGGCUAAUAAAUAAAGACAUUGUUAGA